rnacentral:rRNA from 1 species
GAAUAUUGGACAAUGGGGGGAACCCUGAUCCAGCCAUGCCGCGUGUGUGAAGAAGGCCUUUUGGUUGUAAACCACUUUAAGCGAGGAGGAGGCUACUCUAGUUAACACUUAGAGAUAGUGGACGUUACUAGCAGAAUAAGCACCAGCUAACUCUGUGCCAGCAGCCGCGGUAAUACAGAGGGUGCAAGCGUUAAUCGGAUUUACUGGGCGUAAAGCGCGCGUAGGUGGCCAAUUAAGUCAAAUGUGAAAUCCCCGAGCUUAACUUGGGAAUUGCAUCCGAUACUGGGUGGCUAGAGUAUGGGAGAGGAUGGUAGAAUUCCAGGUGUAGCGGUGAAAUGCGUAGAGAUCUGGAGGAAUACCGAUGGCGAAGGCAGCCAUCUGGCCUAAUACUGACACUGAGGUGCGAAAGCAUGGGGAGCAAACA